UAACUUUCUCUGAUCCCUCAGUUUUCAUGAACCUGGUACAUUUUGGCAUCUCUUGCAACAGGAAACAAAACUCCCUCUCGGCUCUCUCUAUCAUGUGACACUCACCAACACAAUUAACACUCUUUCUUUUCCUCUCUCUCUCUCUCCCUCUCUCGGCCAUUCCUUCCCUAGCAGCACACACUACACACAGAAACACACAAUUGCACACACAAGUAAACACUUGAAAUAAAAAGUCAGGAUGAAGACGUUGGGUUCCUCCAAAGUUUCUAGAGUUUGAGAGCAGCACUGCCAUUAUAUAGCAAAGCUAAAGCCGUUGCCAAGAGACUAUUAGCUGUGCUUCGUCAUCCUAACUAUUGCAUCUCUGCCUAUUCAUGUUCAUCCCUUGAUUAGAUGCUCACUUUUAUGGAAGAAGAAUUUGCUUGAUUCAGACUUUGACUGGAAUCCAUUAGAUGCUGACAACAAGGGGAGCAUGGAUGAAUUUGAUGAGCUUUCCAUUGAUGAACGUGGUAAACUUGAUGAGGAGACACUAGUUAAUGUAAAUAACAUGAAGAAAGAGAGGCUCAAAAAUCAAGGGAUCAAGUGGAUUUAGGAGCGAGUACAUAGCGCAUACUUCUUGCAAGGCAUACAAGUCCAUUAAGCAGCAUUUUGAAUCCGUUGAGAAGCCAAUAGUAGGUGCAUUGAAGCAGCGGCCAUGCUGCUAUAGCAGCAGAUAAUGCCCAAGAAGCCUUAAGGAGCACUAGUCCAGGGUGGGAUGGGAGGAGCAGCGAUAGUAGUGAGAAAGUGGAGAGGACUCCACUAGCGAAAUCAACACCAUUCAAUAUCUCCACAUAGUUAUGGCGGCGAUUCUGCAAUGAGAAGGGUGUGGGGAGGGAUAAGAGGGUUAAAAAAAAAAAACAUACAUAACUAAUUGGUCUGUGCAUUAAAUGGUGUAAACUAACUUUAUCCUAGUUUCCGAUCGAGAAGGAAGCAGAGAAAUUUAAACGGGAAGACGUGUCACGCUCAGCAUAGUUGAUUCCUGCUGACUCAAGCUCCAUGUUGUCAGCAUACUUCUUGCAAGGCAUACAAGUCCAUUAAGCAGCAUUUUGAUUCCGUUGAGAAGCCAAUGGUAGGUGCAUUGAAGCAGCGGCCAUGCUGUUAUAGCAGCAGAUAAUGCCCAAGAAACCUUAAGGAGCACUAGUCCAGGGUGGGAUGGGAGGAGCAGCGAUAGUAGUGAGAAACUGGAGAGGACUCCACUAGCGAAAGCAACACCAUUCAAUAUCUUCACAUAGUUAUUGCGGCGAUUCUGCAAUUGCUUCAUAGCCAAAAAUAAUAGGGGGUAGGAAAGUAUAGCAGCAACGAAACUCCAGGUUUGCAGAGGAUGUGUUUCACUUGGGUCCUCAGAUUUGGCCUGAUACUUCACCGAAACAAGCCCAGAUAAAGAGGGAAUCAAAUAUUUUAAGACUUUAUGACAAGUAGGUGUCGAGUUCAAUUGAUCCUCAUUCACUUCA